rnacentral:misc_RNA from 1 species
GAUGAAGAAACGUAGCGAAAUGCGAUAAGUAAUGUGAAUUGCAGAAUUCCGUGAAUCAUCGAAUCUUUGAACGCACAUUGCGCCCCCUGGCAUUCCGGGGGGCAUGCCUGUCCGAGCGUCAUUUCUGCCCUCCAGCCCGGCUGGGUGUUGGGCGCUGUCCCCCCGGGGACACGCCCCAAAGGCAGUGGCGGCGCCGCGUCGGGUCCUCGAGCGUAUGGGGCUUUGUCACCCGCUCGGGACGGACUCGUCGGCGCUGGUCUUCCUCCAGGCGACCCUUCGGGGCUCGUCUUCCUUCGGUUGACCUCGGAUCAGGUAGGGUUACCCGCUGAACUUAAGCAUAUCAAUAAGCGGAGGA